GGAGUUGUUGCUGUAAUGGUCCUGUAACUCCAUGGGGUGGAGUUGAUCACCUUUGGUCUCACAUCUAUGCCAUUUCUGCCAUCACCUGGCCAUCCCUUGGCUAUCACCGGUCAGGACAUCUGCUCUGGGGGAGAUCCUGGAGCACUGGGGCUGGCAGAGAAGUGUGAGAAGAGUCACCCUGCCCCCAGGUUGUGAAAGGGACAGUCUGCAUACAAGGGCCGUGCUUCACUAUAGGAAGACACCAGGCCUAAGAUAAAAGGGCUCCAGUGCUGGGCUCCCCAGCGGUGUCAGUGACAGACCCUGCUCCUCCACUCGCCAGCUUGGUCAAUAUGGGCCAGAAGCAGGCUAUGGCACUAUGAGUGUCUAGCUUAGUGAAGGAGAACAACAAGAGCUGCAUCGUGAGCAGGGUGGUAAAGGAAGAGGAGAAGGAACAAACCAACAGCAGUCACAGGAGUGAAACUGCUCAAGGUUGCACCUUCUAUAUCUUUCCCUCUAAUCCUCUUCCAGUAAAUGUUCUCAGAGACACCCAUUGGAUAUGCAUAAGAAUGAUCCAUCAAAGGAUGGUUUCUGAACAUGUGGCCAGCUAUGUGCCUGGGGAGCCUUCUACGGAGCUGAUUUUAGAGCCCAUGUGGGGAGAUGUUCAGCAUCUUUCACUGGGGGGAAAAGGCAAUACAGAGAGAUUUCACUGCACUGAAUUUCAUUUCCUAUCAUUUUCCAAAUUCCAUUAAUGGAUCUUUUUCACAAAGUAGCUUGCUCUGGAGUGAGGAUUCAAUGAAAUUCAGACUCGGGGGAAUGCAUAUCUGCUUAACACUUGUGCCGAUGGUUUUUAAAAUUUCUUCUUAGGUUCACUGACUUCCUCUUAACAAUGUCCUACCAGCAGAGCCGGUAGCAAUUCCAGCCCCCUCCCAAGUGCACCCCCAAGUGCCCUCCCAAGUGCCCCACCCUGAAAUGCCCCCCAAAGUGUCCCCCUACGUGUCCUCCCGUCUCUUCC